UACGUAGGGACCGAGCGUUGUCCGGAUUCAUUGGGCGUAAAGAGCUCGUAGGCGGCCACUCAAGUCGAAUGUGAAACCUCGAGGCUUAACCUCGAGCCUGCAUUCGAUACUGGGCGGCUAGAGUCUGGUAGGGGGAUCUGGAAUUCCUGGUGUAGCGGUGGAAUGCGCAGAUAUCAGGAAGAACACCCGUGGCGAAGGCGGUUCUCUGGGCAUGUCCUGACGCUGAGGAGCGAAAGUGUGGGGAGCGAACAGG
rnacentral:rRNA from 1 species